UACGGAGGGUGCGAGCGUUGUCCGGAAUUACUGGGCGUAAAGCGCACGUAGGCGGCUUUGUAAGUUAGAGGUGAAAGCCCAGGGCUUAACCCUGGAAUUGCCUUUAAGACUGCAUCGCUAGAAUUGUGGAGAGGUGAGUGGAAUUCCGAGUGUAGAGGUGAAAUUCGUAGAUAUUCGGAAGAACACCAGUGGCGAAGGCGACUCACUGGACACAUAUUGACGCUGAGGUGCGAAAGCGUGGGGAGCAAACAGG
rnacentral:rRNA from 1 species